rnacentral:lncRNA from 1 species
GUUGAGAACAUUCAGGUUUUUGGAACUAGAGGAGAUAUCUGAAGCUGAUAAUUAUAAUGAGGUAUCCAAGCCAAAUGACCAUUACACUCAGCCAAGAUCAGAAUUACUAGUUGAAUCUCUAAUGACAUUGGUUGAAACUUUACCUAAAAAGGAAGAGGUAACAAUAGAAAAUUCAGAAAUACUUUCUCAGUAUAUCGAGUACAUAGAUCUAGAUCCCUUAG